UACGAGGGGGGGCGAGCGUUGUUCGGAAUUAUUGGGCGUAAAGGGUGCGUAGGCGGUUUGGUAAGUCUUAUGUGAAAUCUACAGGCUCAACUUGUAGUCUGCAUGAGGAACUGCCGGGCUUGAGUAUGGGAGAGGUGAGUGGAAUUCCUGGUGGAGCGGUGAAAUGCGUAGAUCUUGGAAAGACCACCAAUGGCGAAGGCACUCUACUGGGCCAUUACUGACACUGAGAGACGAAAGCUAGGGGAGCGAAUGGG
rnacentral:rRNA from 1 species